GCUCUACUCUGAUUUUAUUCUGUAAUAACGAAGACACAAGUCAACAGAUGUAGGAGGUCAUUUAUUGAUGGUGAACAGCUGGAGUGGACUGUGACAUGGAAAUGUCUUUCCCAUAAACAUGUCCGAUGAACCUCUCACUGGAGCUGUGAAGGAUCAGGGCUUGGAUGAAGAGCAUCAGACUGUAUCAGCUGCUUUGUCUUCACCUGCAGAGACAGAUGAAGUCCUCCACCACCAUCUCAGCCCAGGGGAAGGUGCAAAAAUUGUCCGGUCCAUCAUCAGGAUGACGUUUUCCCUCGCCACACCUCGUUCCAACCCCAACUUUAUACAGGAUGUGCUCCAGCUUGAUUUUAUGAUCCACCUCUGGAAGAGGAGAACACACCAAGAGGUCAGUCUCUGUCUCUUCCUCACUGUUCCCAGUGAGUUCAAAUACAUUGGUGGCCACAAUACACAUGGUUUUCAGUCAAACACACACACACUGAGACAAGUGUUCUUACCACACGACAUCUCAGCGGUUGCGUUGUGGCAGGCGUAGAUGACCUCCCCCUCUGGCACACACAUGAUGCAGACACAUUAUU